GCGACGAUGGUGUAGCCUGGCUAGCACAUGAGACUGUGGAUCUCAUAGCCCGGGUUCAAAGGAGCAUCCUCCGCGAUGGGUAUGCGGGUGUACUCUGAAAUUCCCGGUCGUCGCC
rnacentral:tRNA from 1 species